rfam:Odoribacter splanchnicus DSM 20712, complete genome.
GAGUAAAUAAUUAAGGGCGUAUGGUGGAUGCCUAGGCUCUCAGAGGCGAAGAAGGACGUGAUAAGCUGCGAAAAGCUCCGUUUAGGUGCAAAUAACCUUUGAUGCGGAGAUCUCCGAAUGGGAUAACCCAAUAUGUUGAAGACAUAUUAUACCGUAAGGUAGGCAAACGCAGGGAACUGAAACAUCUAAGUACCUGCAGGAGAAGAAAACAAACGUGAUUCCCCCAGUAGCGGCGAGCGACCGGGGAAAAGCCCAAACCGUUAUUGUUUCGGCAUUAACGGGGUAGUAGGACUGCAAGCUUGAUGAAAUAAAUGAAAUGGAACACCUUGGAAAAUGUGAUCACAGAGGGUGAUAAUCCCGUACAUGCAAGUUUAUGAAUCAUAGCAGACUCCUGAGUAAGUCGGGACACGUGUAAUCCUGACCGAAUCCGCCGGGACCAUCCGGCAAGGCUAAAUACUCCUGAGAGACCGAUAGUGAACCAGUACCGUGAGGGAAAGGUGAAAAGCACUUCGAACAGAAGAGUGAAAUAGUCCCUGAACCCAUACGCCUACAAGCAGUCGGAGCCGCUUCGUGCGGUGACGGCGUGCCUUUUGCAUAAUGAGCCUACGAGUUACUCAUCACCAGCGAGGUUAAGUACUUCAGGUACGUAAGCCGAAGCGAAAGCGAGUCUGAAUAGGGCGUCAAGUUGGUGGUGGUAGACGCGAAACCUUAGUGAUCUACCCAUGGGCAGGGUGAAGGUUUGGUAACACAAACUGGAGGCCCGAACCGGUAAACGUUGAAAAGUUUUCGGAUGACCUGUGGGUAGGGGUGAAAGGCCAAUCAAAACUGGGAAAUAGCUCGUACUCUCCGAAAUGCAUUUAGGUGCAGCCUCUGUUGUUUUGUUCUAGAGGUAGAGCUACUGAUUGGAUGCGAGGGCUUCACCGCCUAUCAAAUCCGGCCAAACUCCGAAUGCUAGAACAUGAAGACAGGGAGUGAGCCAGCGGGUGCUAAGGUCCGUUGACGAAAGAGGGAGAACUCAGACCAUCAGCUAAGGUCCCCAAUUAUAUGCUAAGUUGGAAUUAAAACGGGGUGGGACUGCUUAGACAGCUAGGAUGUUGGCUUGGAAGCAGCCAUUCAUUUAAAGAGUGCGUAACAGCUCACUAGUCGAGCGGUCCUGCAUGGAUAAUACGCGGGCAUAAGCAUAUAACCGAAGCUAUGGGAUUGUAGAUGAUACAAUCGGUAGGAGAGCAUUCCAUUCAGCGUAGAAGCAGUAUCGUGAGGUAUUGUGGAGCGGAUGGAAAAGCAAAUGUAGGCAUAAGUAACGAUAAUGCGGGUGAGAACCCCGCACGCCGAAAGAUCAAGGAUUCCCCGGCAAUGUCAAUCAUCCGGGGGUAAUCGGAUCCUAAGGGUAAGCCGAGUGGCGAUCCCGAUGGCAAACAGGUUAAUAUUCCUGUACUGAUCAUAACUGCGAUGCAGCGACGCAGAGGUGACACUGCUGCGUACUGACGGAAUAGUACGUUGAAACCCGUAUUCUUUGAUACCGGUAGUGAAGCACGCCGGUAGAGAUGAAAGGUGAUAGUACCGCAAUGCUUCGGUUGCGCGGAUAACGCAGGUAAGCUGACUGCCAAGAAAACCUGCUAAGCUUCAGGUAAUGAUCAUCCGUACUGUAAACGGACACACGUGAUCAGGUAGAAAAUACUAAGGCGCUCGAGAGAUUCAUGGUUAAGGAACUAGGCAAAAUGGUCCUGUAACUUCGGGAUAAAGGACGCUCUUGUGAAAGAGCCGCAGAUAAUAGGCCCAGGCGACUGUUUACCAAAAACACAUGGCUAUGCUAAUUCGCAAGAAGAUGUAUAUGGCCUGACACCUGCCCGGUGCCGGAAGGUUAAGAGGAGAGCUCAGAGGCAACUCGAAGGUUUGAAUUGAAGCCCCGGUAAACGGCGGCCGUAACUAUAACGGUCCUAAGGUAGCGAAAUUCCUUGUCGGGUAAGUUCCGACCUGCACGAAUGGUGUAACGAUCUGGGUACUGUCUCAACCAUGAGCUCGGUGAAAUUGUAGUUCCGGUGAAGAUGCCGGAUACCCGCAACGGGACGGAAAGACCCCGUGAACCUUUACUGCAGCUUUGCAUUGAUUUUGGGUAACAGAUGUGUAGGAUAGGUCGGAGGCUUUGAUGCUGCGUCGUCAGGCGUAGAGUAGCCGUCGUUGAAAUACGACCCUUUGUUAUCUGAGGUCUAAUCCCGUUAGGGAGACAUUGCAUGGUGGGUAGUUUGACUGGGGUGGUCGCCUCCAAAAGUGUAACGGAGGCUUCUCAAGGUACCCUCAAGGCGUUUGGUAAUCGUCUGCAGAGUGCAAUGGCAUAAGGGUGCUUGACUGUGAGACCGACACGUCGAUCAGGUUGGAAACAAGAGCAUAGUGAUCCGGUGGUUCCGCAUGGAAGGGCCAUCGCUCAAAGGAUAAAACGGUACUCCGGGGAUAACAGGCUGAUCGCUCCCAAGAGCUCAUAUCGACGGAGCGGUUCGGCACCUCGAUGUCGGCUCGUCACAUCCUGGGGCUGGAGAAGGUCCCCAAGGGUUCGGCUGUUCGCCGAUUAAAGUGGCACGCGAGCUGGGUUCAGAACGUCGUGAGACAGUUCGGUCCCUAUCUGUUGUGGGCGCAGGAUAUUUGAGGAGCUCUGACUCUAGUACGAGAGGACCGGGUUGGACGAUACCUCUCGGUGAAUCAGUUGUGUCGCCAGAUGCACUGCUGAGUAGCUAUGUAUGGAUUGGAUAAGCGCUGAAAGCAUCUAAGCGCGAAGCCAGCUUCAAGAUGAGAUAUCCUUACAGGGUCGUUCGAGAUGAGAACGUUGAUAGGUUGCAGGUGUAUAGUCGGUGACGGCACAGCCGAGCAAUACUAAUUACCCGAAUGUUUACUUUA